rnacentral:lncRNA from 1 species
UGUGGCUCCAGCAUUCCAUGUUGGCUCUGUGGUUCUGUUUCAUUGAGAUUGGAGGUUAGCUGUUCUAUGGACACAGUCUGGGACUUCCCCUGGACACAGAGGGUAAUGUUUGUGUACUGUGCAAAUAACACAACCACGGACUGUUUGACUGAAACCAGCCCUGCAGUGUCACGAGGAGGAAUAUGCCACGUCACACAUGAGCCCCUCCCACCGCUGCAGAGGAGCUGGUUUACGAUUCGCUGACUGUGAGAUGAUUGACGUGGCACAUUCUGGUUCUAUGACCCACCGCUCCCUCGCAACCGUGGAAACACUUCUAUGCAGCCCAUGCAGCAUUAAUUGCCCUCCUUCGAUGGUCAGUGUGAGAGAGGUUAUAUUGAAUUGAUUCCUGCUGAAUGUGAACCUCAACCUGAGAUGCAGCUCUACAUGUUUUCUCUCUAUCGAUUAUUCAGAUUCAUAACAAAUGUUUACCUUGAGGUUCAGCAAUCUACCCAAAAUAAUAACAAAUAAAACAUGUUUUGUUUGUUGUUGGUGAAAUAUUUCAAGGUUGCCGUUGCCUCUUUAAUUUCCUAUGGAUGCAAUUUAAACAGUUUGGAUUAUACAAACCAUAAAUGAAUCAUGGAUUUAUCAAGUGUUGAUGUUUUCAGUUUUCAUUCUCCCAUCAUUUUCUCUCCAGUUCUCCCAACACCAUCACUGCGUAUGUCACUAAAAGCAUUAUAGAUAAUCUCCAAUGCCCCCAGCAUACACCCAUUUCAAUCUUAUAUUAACCAGCACACACUCACAUGCAAACAAACACAUACACAGACUCACACACAAACAUACUAAUGCACACAGAUGACCUGGAGUUUAGCAUUCCAUAUUGUAUCCUGACUGAGUGGCAAAUAUCGUCUAAAACUGUGUUUUUAAACCCACAAUGAAUAAAGGUUUUCC